AUACGGAGGGUGCAAGCGUUAAUCGGAAUUACUGGGCGUAAAGGGUACGUAGGCGGUUAUUUAAGUUGGAUGUGAAAUCCCUGGGCUCAACCUAGGAACUGCAUCCAAAACUGAAUAACUGGAGUGUAUAAGAGGUUAGCGGAAUUCCAGGUGUAGCAGUGAAAUGCGUAGAUAUCUGGAGGAACAUCAGUGGCGAAGGCGGCUAACUGGUAUAACACUGACGCUGAGGUACGAAAGCGUGGGGAGCGAACGGGAUUAGAAACCCCAGUAGUCC
rnacentral:rRNA from 1 species